CCUACGGGUGGCUGCAGUGGGGAAUAUUGGACAAUGGGGGCAACCCUGAUCCAGCCAUGCCGCGUGUGUGAAGAAGGCCCUCGGGUUGUAAAGCACUUUCAGUGAGGAAGAACGCCUGGUGGUUAAUACCCAUCAGGAAAGACAUCACUCACAGAAGAAGCACCGGCUAACUCCGUGCCAGCAGCCGCGGUAAUACGGAGGGUGCGAGCGUUAAUCGGAAUUACUGGGCGUAAAGCGCGCGUAGGUGGCUUGAUAAGCCGGUUGUGAAAGCCCCGGGCUCAACCUGGGAACGGCAUCCGGAACUGUCAAGCUAGAGUGCAGGAGAGGAAGGUAGAAUUCCCAGUGUAGCGGUGAAAUGCGUAGAGAUCGGGAGGAAUACCAGUGGCGAAGGCGGCCUUCUGGACUGACACUGACACUGAGGUGCGAAAGCGUGGGUAGCAAACAGGAUUAGAUACCCGUGUAGUC
rnacentral:rRNA from 1 species